rnacentral:rRNA from 1 species
GAGUUUGAUCCUGGCUCAGGAUGAACGCUGGCGGCGUGCCUAAUACAUGCAAGUCGAGCGAGAAUUUGGCAAGUGGAGACUUCGGUCAAAGCGAGUCAAAGGAAAGCGGCGGACGGGUGAGUAAUGCGUGGGUAACCUGCCCUUUGGAGAGGGAUAGCAGUUGGAAACGGCUAUUAAUACCUCAUAAGCGCACAGUUUCGCAUGAAACGGUGUGAAAAGAUUUAUCGCCAAAGGAUGGACCCAUGUCCGAUUAGUUAGUUGGUGAGGUAACGGCUCACCAAGACCGCGAUCGGUAGCCGACCUGAGAGGGUGAUCGGCCACAUUGGGACUGAGACACGGCCCAAACUCCUACGGGAGGCAGCAGUAGGGAAUAUUGCACAAUGGGGGAAACCCUGAUGCAGCAACGCCGCGUGAACGAUGAAGGAUUUCGGUCUGUAAAGUUCUUUUGCUAGGAAAAGAUAAUUGAACG